GUUGAGUUGUCCCACAUCGGAGGGAUUUGAGGUACUUGGUCCCCUUAUAUGGCUUGGGCAAUCCUCACCUCACAAGCUAGCUUUUGGGGUUGAGUUAGGCCCAAGGUCCGUUCUUAUUAGCUUUUGGGAUUGAGUUAGGCUCAAGGUCCAUUCUUAUCAUGGUAUCAGAGCCAAGCCCAUCCCAAUUAUUGUUAUCGAUGUUGGGCCCCCAUUUAUGUUAUCCAUGCUCUAGAGGUCUGG
rnacentral:lncRNA from 1 species